rnacentral:rRNA from 1 species
UACGUAGGGUCCGAGCGUUGUCCGGAAUUACUGGGCGUAAAGAGCUCGUAGGUGGUUUGUCGCGUUGUUCGUGAAAACUCACAGCUCAACUGUGGGCGUGCGGGCGAUACGGGCAGACUUGAGUACUGCAGGGGAGACUGGGAUUCCUGGUGUAGCGGUGGAAUGCGCAGAUAUCAGGAGGAACACCGGUGGCGAAGGCGGGUCUCUGGGCAGUAACUGACGCUGAGGAGCGAAAGCGUGGGGAGCGAACAGG